rnacentral:rRNA from 1 species
GGAGUUAUGAAAUGCAAGGGUGAUAACACCGCCCUUGUUUGACAAAGGCCUCAGAGGAAGCUCCGGCUAAAUCCGUGCCAGCAGCCGCGGUAAGACGGAUGGAGCGAGCGUUGUUCGGAAUCACUGGGCAUAAAGCGCUUGUAGGCGGCGUGGCGGGUCGGUUGCGAAAGCCCCUGGCUCAACCAGGGAAUUGCAGCCGAAACUUCCAUGCUUGAGUGUGAGAGGGGAGAGUG